GGACUUGUACAACUGUCUCAUGGACAUUCCGCUGUUUUUAUGAAAAGUAUAAAAUGAGCAAUGGAGAGCUGUCAUUCACAGAUGCUGCUUCUACAGAACCUCCUUCUGGUGCAAAACAGACAAGUCAAAGUCAAACUCCUGGAUCAGGGAUCAGGAAGGGCAAGAGCAUGAGCCAUUUGACGUUCACAACGCCUUCUUGGUAAUGGCGAGGUUGGGGAUCCCAUCAUUAAGGAUAAGACUCCAAGCACGGCAAUAAAUCAUUAAAAGCAAACCAUUGUUUUGGUGGAAGAAUGAAUAUACAGAUGUCGAGCUUGAUAGGGUGCGUGAAAAACGGGCUAUUUAUGUCAUAAAUUUUAUUUACUAGUGAUAUGAAUUUGUCAAUUACUUUUUAAUGAAUUUGGACCGUAUUUUUGAAUUUGACACUAUAGUUCGUGUAAGCCUUUUUAUAUAUGUAUGAUGUUUUGUUUUG